rnacentral:rRNA from 1 species
AUUGAACGCUGGCGGAAUGCUUUACACAUGCAAGUCGAACGGUAGAGGGGGCAACCCCUCGAGAGUGGCGAACGGGUGAGUAAUAUAUCGGAACGUGCCCAGUCGUGGGGGAUAACGUAGCGAAAGUUACGCUAAUACCGCAUACGAUCUAAGGAUGAGAGCGGGGAUCGCAAGACCUCGCGCGAUUGGAGCGGCCGAUAUCAGAGUAGGUAGUUGGUGGGGUAAAGGCUCACCAAGCCAACGAUCUGUAGCUGGUCUGAGAGGACGACCAGCCACACUGGAACUGAGACACGGUCCAGACUCCUACGGGAGGCAGCAGUGGGGAAUUUUGGACAAUGGACGCAAGUCUGAUCCAGCCAUUCCGCGUGCAGGAUGAAGGCCCUCGGGUUGUAAACUGCUUUUGUACGGAACGAAAAGGUCUCUCUUAAUACGGGGGACUCAUGACGGUACCGUAAGAAUAAGCACCGGCUAACUACGUGCCAGCCGCCGCGGUAA